rnacentral:rRNA from 1 species
AUGAAGAUGUGUAUUGAUGAUAGCCAUAACCUCGGAAAGCUAGAUAAAGUAUAUCUGAAGGAAAUAUUUGAGAAUAGAGCAUUCUGUUUGCAAAAGCCAAACGCUCCUGAUCUAAGCGAUGUGGUUGAUAAGAUUCUGGACAGAUGUGGAGGCUCUCCUUUAGCUGCCAAAGCCUUUGGUUCUAUGUUGAGUACUAAGACUAGAAUAAAAGAAUGGAUGGAUGUACUAACCAGAAGCAACACUUGCAGUGAGAAGACAGGAAUUUUACCUAUACUCAAGCUCAGCUAUGAUGACUUGCCAUCACACUUGAAACAAUGCUUUGCCUUUUGUGCUGUAUUUCCAAAAGAUUAUAAGAUUGAUGUGAAAAUUUUAAUCCAGCUAUGGAUGGCACAUGAUUUUAUACCACUGAAGGAUGGUGACCGUCUUGAAGAGGUAGGCGGAGAAAUUUUUGACCAGCUAACUUGGAGGUCAUUCUUUCAAGAUGUCGAGCGAAUCCCUCAUAGUGAUCGGAUGCUGGAGCUCUGUUCUGGAACAGUAUGCAAGAUACAUGAUCUUAUGCAUGACAUUGCCUUGUCUGUUAUGGGAAAAGAUUGUCUUACUAUAGUUCAUAGGCUUAAUAAAAAGGAGUUGUUGUUAGCAGGGCCUACUCGCCACAUAUUCUCAUCAUAUUUUCAUACCAGAACCCUUCUGGAUUAUUAUCCGAUGAAACAGUCUCCAGCUGUUCAGACACUCUUGUAUCAAGAAUACGUUGAUGAUGGAUCAACGCCACACUUGUCGAAGUACAAUCAUCUGCGAGCACUACAACUCUCUAAACAGAGCAAACUUCCACUCCGACCAAGGCACUUACAGCACCUGAGGUAUCUUGAUCUCUCAGGCAAUAAGGGGAUCAAAAUGCCUCCCAAGGAAAUAGGCAUACUGUAUAAUCUGCAGACACUUAAACUCUCUGGUUGCGUCAAUCUUUGUCAACUUCCAAAGGAUAUGAAGUAUAUGUCAAAUCUCCGUCACCUCUAUACUUGUGGGUGCAGAUCACUGGAGUUCAUGCCUCCAGGCCUCGGGCAACCCACUUCUCUACAGACUACACAUUUUGUGGGGGGUCCUACUCCUGGUUGCAGUACUAUUAGAGAACUACGGGACUUAAAUCUUGGUGGUGAAUUAAAUAUGUCUAGCCUUCAAUACGCAACUGAAGAACAUGCUAAAGCAUUCCGUCUUGGAAGUAAAGAGAAGCUCACACAUUUAUCUCUUGAAUGGAGCGACAACAGAAGUGAGGAACUGGACCAGCACAGGAAUGUGCUUCAGGCUCUUAAACCUCAUGCUGCACUGGAGUUUUUAAGGAUACACUCCUACAAAAGUACUGGCUUCCCGACAUGGGUGAUAAAUGUUACUUCUCUGCAGCAUUUGACCGAGCUCUGCCUUGAUGGUUGUUCAGUGUGUGAUGAAUUUCCUCAAUUCGGUCAAUUUAAGGCCCUUGAAGUUCUUGUUUUGAAAAGGUUGAACAAACUGCAAGGCCUAUGCAGUAACAAUUCCUCAUUAAAAGACCUCAGAUUAGAAAAAUUGGAAAAUUUUGAGAGAUGGGUGGCAGCAGAAGGAGAAGAAUUAGCAUUUCCUUUGCUUGAGAAAGUUCAGAUUAAGAACUGCCCAAAGCUAACUACUCUGCCUGAAGCUCCAAAACUUGAAGUUAUAACGCUAUCAGAAUACAAGGCUCAACUAUCCUUAUCAGUAUUUAGAUCCAGGUACAUGCCUUACUUGUCUGCGGUAUACCUAUCUGUCCUUGAUACAGAAGCAACACCAACACUCGAGCUUGAUCAGAAUCGUGAAGUAUCUCUUUCAGAAAUGGAGUUGCAUGGUUGCAACUUUUUAUUCCGCCCGUGUCCAUCGGAGCCAACAGUUGGGGUCUGGAAAUGGUUUGGCCAGCUUACGUAUUUGCAACUCGUAUAUUGUGAUACGCUCGUCUGCUGGCCUGAAGAAGAGUUCCGAAGCCUGGUAUCACUGACUGCCCUUUGCAUUUUUCACUGCAGCCAGCUAAUAGGCCCCACCCAGUCUUUACUUAUAGAGGACUGCAAGAAGCUUCGUUUCGUGUCAGCGCAGUUGGAUGCACUCCUAUGUUUGAGUAUUGAGCAUUGCAAUGGGCUGGAGUCGCUGGAUUUGGGGGAUUUGCCAUUACUGGAAACACUAUGCCUUCAGAAAUGCAAACAUCUGGCAGCUGUACCAGGUAGUCGUGGGAAUUACUCAGCCCUCCAGAGACUCAUCGUUAGAUACUGCCCAGCUCUAAAUCUGAAGCCACUUUAUGGAAGCCUCCAACAACGGCUAAAUAGCCUUGAAUACAAGGAUCUAUCCCAUGCUGGUUCAUGCAAUCCUGAUGAAGGUUCUGCUGGCUCUGCUGUUCAUAACAAUUUCCAUAUACAGGGCCUAAACUAUGGGAACCAAAAUCUUGGAAAUAUGCUAUUCCUGGGCGUCAGCGGGGCACUGACCUCGAUGACUGAAUAG